rnacentral:rRNA from 1 species
GACGAACGCUGGCGGCGUGCUUAACACAUGCAAGUCGAGCGGAGCGGCGAACGGGUGAGGAACGCGUGAGUAACUGCCCCGCUCUCUGGGAUAACAGUUGGAAACGGAUGCUAAUACCGGACAGUGGGGGAUGACUCGGGUCCUAUGAGCUUGUUGGUGGGGUAGUGGCCUACCACGGCGACGACGGGUAGCCGGCCUGAGAGGGCGACCGGCCACAUUGGGCUUGGAUACGGCCCAAACUCCUACGGGAGGCAGCAGUGGGGAAUAUUGCACAAUGGGGGAAACCCUGAUGCAGCAACGCGCGUGCGGGAUGACGGCCUUCGGGUUGUAAACCGCUUUCAGCCAUGACGCGGGAGUGGCAGAAGAAGCACCGGCUAACUACGUGCCAGCAGCCGCGGUAAUAC